rnacentral:lncRNA from 1 species
AAAAUUCAAGAAAACUCUGAGGAAUAUGAAAAUAUUUUUUUGGGAUUUUGAGGGUUCAUAAAUUGGCCAGAAAUGAUUAAAUACACAUUUAAGCAAUUAAAAUACGAAAAAAAAGCAAACUAAAUGGAAAAAUAAAAUAAAAAUCAGAAAAAAAAAAGUAGACACAAAUCUCUUUCAACACAUAUAUUUUUUAUAUUUUUUUGAUAAUUAAAUAUAUUUUUAAAAAAAUAAACAAGUAAAAGAAAAUAGAAGAAAAUAAAUAACUAAAAACAAACUUGGUCAAACAUGAUAUUACGUGCCAACCAAUAAAAACAAUUCUCAAUCAUUGGAUGCUAAAG